AAGAGUAUAGUUUAAUAGGUAAAACAAGAAGCUUCAAACUUCAAAUUAUCAGUUCAAGUCUGGGUGCUCUUG